GAUGAAGAACGUAGCGAAAUGCGAUACGUAAUGUGAAUUGCAAAUUCAGUGAAUCAUCGAGUCUUUGAAUGCACAUUGCGCCCCCUGGUAUUCCGGGGGGCAUGCCUGUCCGAGCGUCAUUGCUGCCCUCAAGCACGGCUUGUGUGUUGGGCCCCGUCCUCCGAUUCCGGGGGACGGGCCCGAAAGGCAGCGGCGGCACCGCGUCCGGUCCUCGAGCGUAUGGGGCUUUGUCACCCGCUCUGUAGGCCCGGCCGGCGCUUGCCGAUCAACCCAAAUUUUUAUCCAGGUUGACCUCGGAUCAGGUAGGGAUACCCGCUGAACUUAAGCAUAUCAAUAAGCGGAGGA
rnacentral:misc_RNA from 1 species